UUAAUUUAUUUAUAAAAAUCUAAAAUUAUCAUAUUUUAGGAUUAAAGUUUAUUUAUAAGUGAUUUUAUUCUCUACAUUUUGGAUGGCUAGAGAGAAGAGAAGA